rnacentral:rRNA from 1 species
UACGUAGGGGGCAAGCGUUGUCCGGAAUCAUUGGGCGUAAAGCGCGUGUAGGCGGCUCGAUAAGUCUGCUGUGAAAGUCCAGGGCUCAACCCUGGGAUGCCGGUGGAUACUGUCGAGCUCGAGUCCGGAAGAGGCGAGUGGAAUUCCUGGUGUAGCGGUGAAAUGCGCAGAUAUCAGGAGGAACACCAAUGGCGAAAGCAGCUCUCUGGGACGGUACUGACGCUGAGACGCGAAAGCGUGGGGAGCGAACAGG